GUCCUACGGGGCGCAGCAGUGAGGAAUAUUGGUCAAUGGGCGCAAGCCUGAACCAGCCAAGUCGCGUGAGGGAAGACGGCCCUACGGGUUGUAAACCUCUUUUGCCGGGGAGCAAGCCUGAGCACGUGUGCCCAGGCGGAGAGUACCCGGAGAAAAAGCAUCGGCUAACUCCGUGCCAGCAGCCGCGGUAAUACGGAGGAUGCGAGCGUUAUCCGGAUUUAUUGGGUUUAAAGGGUGCGUAGGCGGACAGUCAAGUCAGCGGUAAAAAUGCGGUGCUCAACGCCGUACAGCCGUUGAAACUGGCA
rnacentral:rRNA from 1 species